GUUAGGAAUAUUGGACAAUGGGCGCAAGCCUGAUCCAGCCAUGCCGCGUGAGUGAUGAAGGCCUUCGGGUUGUAAAGCUCUUUAGCCGAUGAUUAUAAUGACUGUAGUCGGAAAAUAAGCCCCGGCUAACUUCGUGCCAGCAGCCGCGGUAAUACGAAGGGGGCGAGCGUUAUUCGGAAUCACUGGGCGUAAAGCGUGCGUAGGCGGCUUUGCAAGUUGGGAGUGAAAGCCCAGGGCUCAACCCUGGAAUUGCUCUCAAAACUGCAAGGCUCGAAUUCGGGAGAGGAUAGCGGAAUUGUCAGUGUAACAGUGAAAUGCGUAGAUAUUGACAGGAACACCAGUGGCGUAAGCGGCUAUCUGGACCGAUAUUGACGCUGAGGCACGAAAGCGUGGGGAUCAAACAGGAUUAGAAACCCUGGUAGUCC
rnacentral:rRNA from 1 species